GAAAGGUGAUCCACGUUAGCAUAUGCAAGUACCUAUAAGUUAGAGAUCUAUCUUGUUUAAUUCUACGCUACAAGAACUUAUUAAUUGUACGGUUAGAUGGAAAAGUUUAUAUCUACUUUUCUAUUCGAGAUAGACAAGUAUGAGAAUCAUAAAAAUCGCGCAAUAAUUAAAUUAAUUGUAAGUUGCCUAAGAAAGAGAAAUUAAUUGUUUACUAUAUUGUAGCGGCUAACUACGCUAACAAAGAAGAAAUUGUCGUGUAAACAGCUAGCACGGCUUACGCCUGAAAAACUAUUUUUGAGAAAGUCAUGAUUUCCAAGAAAGAACAUUCCAUAAGGCAUGAUUCUUUAGAGUUUUUCAGUACGGCCUCAAUAGCAAAUUGCUGAUGUCACAAACCCGUUUCGUUACCAACAUCCCUUGGUAAUAAUACUCCCACCAAACGUGCUGCUGAAAAUACGCGAAGUUUCUGCGGAGAAAAAAUAGUCAGAUAGAGUAGGAGCCUCCAUUGCGUAUAGAUGUAACCAUUUUCAGUAAAAAUUAAAUGUUAGAAGCUGACUUCAUCAUUAUAUUGAACACGUCUCUGAUCUACAUUACAAUAUUUUUGUUAGAGGAAACAAGAGAAUAUUCCCUUUUAAUCGAUAAUGGAUCAGUAGAAUAAUUCAAUAAUUUUAAUAUGUUUUCUAUACACCAUUCCGAUUUAACAUUAACUCUUGGCACUCUGUAUGUCAAUUAUAUUGGCAUGAAUAUCUUUUAAGGCACUUCGCCGGUUUUACAAUAUAGAGCUGAGCAGAAGCGCUGUUCUUUCGUUUAAGAACAGGCGAAAACUGUUAUGUCGUUGAAGAAAGGGCCUUCACAAGAUUGCAAGAAAGCUCUUUGAGGGACUCUAUGAUGUACACGUCCCUCCAGAGUCAUCUGAUCUGCCGCAUAUGACCUAUGUUAGUAGAAACAGCAAAUAGAUCUGGACCUUUUCAAUGGCCUUUCCGCAGACAACAUUAUAUUAAGGGGCCGACACGCCGAGGAGGAUCUGGAUCUCCUCAGACUUGCACGACGGCCCAGGGGAUAGCGUUGAGAGGGGUGGCCCCUCCCAAUGCCCGAACUAACCAAGGAAGGACUCCCUCAGACAGGAGAAGACGCAGGAGUGCCCCGGCAGUAAUUCGAAAGAGGUCCUGGGGCAUCCCAGCCGAGCGUCAGGCGGUCGACAGUGGGGUUUUAGUCGGUAAAGUCUACCCCGCCGCUUCCCAGAAAAGCGAGGGGGGGCGGGGUAUCCAUGAGGAUUUUCCCACGUAUAAAAAAAAACAUUAUAUUAAUCAUAAUAUAAACAUCUAUUUUAAUUUCAUUAUACAAAUUAAUAUACAUAAUUUAGUUUUAUAAUCUUAUUAUUUUAAAUCAGAGUCAAUUAUUUCAACAAUUCUUAAAAUUAAUGAAAUAUUUGUUAGACAUGUGCAUGAGGUUUCAUCUAUUAGACUGUCUAUUUUUAUAAUAUAUUACUAUGGAUCGUUGUUGAAUUUAUCGUAUUUAUUAAUAAGGAUUAAUAAUCAACAUAUAACAUUUGAUAAGGUCAUAUCAGAUUUGAAAUUUUAUAUACCAGCACCAGCAAAAUCAUUUUCAUGUUAUAGUUACUUGGUAAAAAAAUAACAAUUGCUUCAAAUGUAAAAAUAAGAAGAAAUUAUGAAGCAAAGAAUCAUUCAUAUGUAUUACAUUGCGGGCAAUCAAAAGUUUCAGACAAAAACUAGCUGGGUCCUUAGAACUAAUGGGAAUUUGGUGCAAGUCGGUUUAUUCUAGAGCAGCAAGUAAUAAAAAUUGUCCUUGUACUGUGAACGACCAAGGUUGCUCGUUACUAUUUUCAGAAGUAAGUAAAUUUUUAUUUUUUCAUUAUUCUCCUAAUAUCUGGUAAAAUUUUCGAGAUUCACCUUGAUCGCUGUAAUGAAAAUGAAAUCCUAAUAGCGGAGUGUGAGUAUUAAUAUAGUGUAAGACAGCCGGCAACCAAUAUUGACGCAUGCGCUGCCACAAAUGCACAAUUAUAUCCAAAAUUCACUGUAUUAGUAGCGACUGUUUUUUGCAAAUAUCUCGGAAAUUAAGGUUGACUGCCAGUAAUAUGUAUAAAAAAAGAUUGUUCUUAAUCAUGCCCACCAUCACAUAUUAAAAAAUCAUCGAAAUCGAUGAGGUUUUCUUCUAUACAUUUUCCGUAACUUUUUGUAAUACAUACACUGAUUUUUCCUGCAUUAUUGUUUCAAAAUUCCUCAAAAUUCCUCAAAAUUCAGACUUUAAAAUAAUUAUACUUCUCGCAGCCGUUGCGAAUGUGCAUGUAAUUUUCUAAAAGAUUAUAACAAGAAAUUCAAAACUAUGUAAUAAUUUUCUUUUAUAUUUAUAUAUUACAAAAAUAUUUGUUUUUAAACAAAUUACUACCUUUCUUAAACUUUCCUUCGAAUUUUUAUUUUUGUUAACAACUCCUUAGAUAAAUAACAAAAUAUGUAUUUAAGUAAUAAAAAAUAAAAAUAAGUAUUUUAGAAUCUUUUGAGAUUUUUUGGAAGUUAGAAGAAUAGUAAAAAAGUUAAUUAUAGAUGACUCAGAUUGCCCAUAGAAGAUACAAAAAAUAUGCUUGCUCACGAAGGGUUAAGUACUAACAUCUAACAAAGUUUUAUAAGAUAAUAUCUUAAAUUAUAAUACUUUAAUAAUUUUACUUACCUAUGAAAUAUUUUGUACAACAGAACCUCAAUUAUCCAAACAUGUUUCCCAUGUAAACAGUUCACUCUUCUACAUAAAUUUUUGUUAGCUGUCAAUAUUAUCACUGGCAAAAAGGUCUAAGAGCAAUUUAUGUAAAGAAAAAGAUUGAAAGAAAAAUACAGAUUCAGAAGAAAUUAUAUUACUAACGAAGUUGAUUUAUACCAACAAUGUAGUUUAUUGCAUGUAAUUAUACAGCAGUUUUGAAUAUUACUGUAGAUUAUUUACACUUAAUUAAAUACAAAAUUAUAGGCUGAAUUUAAUACAAAAAUGUAUGAUAAAAAUUGACUUAUUUACUUAUAAAAUCAUGAAAUACAUAUUAAUCAUAUAAAUUUAUGUAAUAAUUGAAAAUGGACGGAUUCUGAUAUAAUUCUGGACGGAUUCCUUUCAUUUAUUAAAAUAAGGCUACUUUUUAUAUGAUACUGUUACGUUCGUAACCAACCAUUCGAAUCUCCCUUAUUCUUGGUGAUGUUAUCUUAGUAUUCUAUAUUGUCAUCUUAAAGAGAAUAUAAUAAUCGAAA